UACUGUCUAUGAGUACUACAACCCAGGUAGAUACUGUCUAUGAGUACUACAACCCAGGUAGAUACUGUCUAUGAGUACUACAACCCAGGUAGAUACUGUCUAUGAGUACUACAACCCAGGUAGAUACUGUCUAUGAGUACUACAACCCAGGUAGAUACUGUCUAUGAGUAC